UCAGAGGUCGCGGCAUUCAAGAGUAGCGCGGGAAGGACUCGGGGUCCUGAGAACCGCUGUGAAAGGGAAUACCGCCGAAGGGAACGGACACCCGCAGGUCUGUCCCCUGGCCGUCCGGUUAAGAGCCGCGCGGCUGUCACCAGUCUAUGUGGUGGAGCGCUGUCUG
rnacentral:ncRNA from 1 species